rnacentral:rRNA from 1 species
GACGAACGCUGGCGGCGUGCUUAACACAUGCAAGUCGAACGGAAAGGCCCUGCUUUUGUGGGGUGCUCGAGUGGCGAACGGGUGAGUAACACGUGAGUAACCUGCCCUUGACUUUGGGAUAACUUCAGGAAACUGGGGCUAAUACCGGAUAGGAGCUCCUGCUGCAUGGUGGGGGUUGGAAAGUUUCGGCGGUUGGGGAUGGACUCGCGGCUUAUCAGCUUGUUGGUGGGGUAGUGGCUUACCAAGGCUUUGACGGGUAGCCGGCCUGAGCGGGUGACCGGCCACAUUGGGACUGAGACACGGCCCAGACUCGUACGGGAGGUAGCAGUGGGGGAUAUUGCACUAUGGGCGGAAGCCUGAUGCUGCAACGCCGCGUGCGGGAUGACGGCCUUCGGGUUGUAACCCGCUUUCGCCUGUGACGAAGCGUGAGUGACGGUAAUGGGUAAAGAAGCACCGGCUACCUACGUG